rnacentral:rRNA from 1 species
CUUUCUCCGCCGGCGACCGGCGCACGGGUGAGUAACACGUAUGCAACCUGCCCCUGUCAGGGGGACAACCCGCCGAAAGGCGGGCUAAACCCGCGUACAUGCCACCGGGGCAUCCCGGAGGCAGGAAAGGCUUCGGCCGGACAGGGAUGGGCAUGCGGCGCAUUAGGCAGUAGGCGGGUAACGGCCCACCUAACCGACGAUGCGUAGGGGUUCUGAGAGGAAGGUCCCCCACACUGGUACUGAGACACGGACCAGACUCCUACGGAAGGCAGCAG